ACCCGCUGCAGCAAGAGCAGCUACCAAAAACCUAAAAUUAUGGAGAGAGGAAACAAACGCGAAUGCGACGAAUACGACGAAGAACCAUUCCGGAAGAUGCUCGUCCCGUUCGCGCUUCAGACUUGGCUCCGAAAGCCGCAGAUGAUCCGGAAGUCGUGGAGCUUGCGCAACUUUCCCGGAACCGUGUACGGAAGGCCCAAAUCCUGCAUAGAUGGAGGCCCUGGCACAAGAGGUGGCCUUGAGUCUGGAGAGCGCGCUCAACCAAUAUCGACCAGUAGCGUCUCUCCUCUUCAUGAAUGGUGCUGAAGUGCUGUCGCAAUCUCUUGCGCACCCACAACCCUCACAUUCCCCUCCUUCCCCUGGUCGACUCCUGGACGGUCUGCUCAACUCCAGUUCCGGAGAAUGAUGCUUCCAAACGCGACCCGGAUUGAACGUCCCCGGCAGUUAAAGGACACCUAACCACAAUGGAACGAAGCCAAGAAAUAGUCCGCACUCGCACUGUGGAGAUCGACAGUGGCAGUGAGACCAUUCGCAACCAUUACGUGAAGAGCGUGACAGAACCAAACCGGAAGUUGUCCUGCAGGCCGUUAGUCGUGCCUGCUAGCGCAGCAGCCACUCCGUAAGACGUUUUCUGUCAUGCUCCAGUUCACGCUAGCAUUCCGGGUCGAGUGCCCCCCAACCCCGAUCUACUCGGACAAUCCGCAGGCCCCGAACCGGGAAAAAUGUCCGACUGAGCGAUUUGAAGUUAAAGGGCAGUCGGGUGCGUAGCCUCAUAGCAUAGCUAUCCCAAGCGCCGAAAGAAAACAAGGUCCUUGCACGAAAUCCGCCGGCGGUCCGUGACCAAAAGCACAGAAAUGUACAACCUUGACUAUUCUGCCGAUGCCGACGGACUGAAGAAAAAUCGCGCGUUCCACAAGUUUCACACACCGCGGCGGAAACCUGGACGAGCUGCUGGACAUGAAGUGAAGACCGACGUUCACGACGUUCCGGAGAUGGUUGGUUCCACCGUUGGUAUCUACAAUGACAAAUUGACCAUAAAGCAGUCCGCUGCUGAAGGGCGUGUACAACGAGAAAAGACUAUUACAGUAUUGUGAAA